ensembl:lncRNA
CCUACUGAUGCGCUUUCCCCUCCCAACCAGCGUCGCCUCUGCGUGCGGUGACCACACCUGCAACCGGGAAAGUCCGCUAGACCUGCGCACGGUUCAGUGAGCGCGAGAGGCACACACAAUCACCAUCGGAGGCUCCACAUCGGAGAAAGGUAGUCAGUCUAGUCAGAAUUAUGUUGAUUAUUGAGACUAUACUGUUUCAAACCGUCCUUUCACGCACCAAACGCGCGGCAUAUGGUUUGGAUUUGGAAAUACCUCCCGGCGCAGGAACGGAGAUUUGUGGAGUCGUUCCGUUUCGAGGAUGAAUAGCGACUGGGAAUGUGCCAGCACCACGCACAGAGAGUGCAGGAGAGAGGGUGAGUGUGAGAGAGAGAGGCAGAAGGAGCGAGAGUGUGGAACCCAGCCCCGUGAGGAUCAGGUUCUAUCUGGAACCCAGCCCCGUGAGGAUCAGGUUCUAUCUGGAACCCAGCCCCGUGAGGAUCAGGUUCUAUCUGGAACCCAGCCCCGUGAGGAUCAGGUUCUAUCUGGAACCCAGCCCCGUGAGGAUCAGGUUCUAUCUGGAACCCAGCCCUGUGAGGAUCAGGUUCUAUCUGGAAUCCAGGCUCCUGUUUCUCACAGAGCAGGGAUGUUUGAAUAUGUUGAAGGCCGCCUCCGAACCCAUACAAUAAAAAAAAUAAUGGCGAACAACAAAAGUUUGUGACUGAUGCAGGCAAGCUACUGUAGAGCCAGGUGGCUGAGGUCUCGGCAGGGAGUCAGUGCAAGCUGAGAGGGGUAGUAACAUCACCGUCAACAUCACUAGGUCCUGCUGAAGAGAGAUUGAAAACAACAUCAGCCCUGCCUAGCCUCAUCCCCAGACGCCUGCCUGCCUCCAGCUCCUAGCAGCUCCAGGCUCCCGGCCCCCAUGGAGCUUGGCACUGAUGCCCAGCGCAAAAACAGAUGGUGCCAAUCCUGACCCCUCUCGUCACCGAUGAACAGGAAGAGGAGGAGGCACUGUUGCCACGGCAACUCCUGGACACACAUCCUCUCCAAGGGCCUCAGGUAAACACAUUCACACAACAGGACCAAGGCGAGGACCCCGUUUGUGUCCUAGUAAGCUAACUCAUUGCCUGUGAGACUUCAACACGACCAGACUUUUUUCUGUAGGCGUCCAAUUCCAUGCCUGCUUGGACUGUAUGAGAAUGUGCUGAUGGACCAGGACCAGUGCAGGAACGUGACAUCAGUUUACUGAAAGCCAAUGAAACUCCAUCCUGUCGGGGACUGCUCCUCUUUCCCUGCUGGCUGGCCUGGGCUCUCAGGCCUGGAUGAAUUAUUAAAGGGACCCCUCAGUACUGCUGGUAGCUCUAAAGCCC